rnacentral:rRNA from 1 species
UACAGAGGGUGCAAGCGUUGUUCGGAAUUAUUGGGCGUAAAGCGCGUGUAGGCGGCUUUGCAAGUCGGGUGUGAAAUCCCUCAGCUUAACUGAGGAAGUGCGCCCGAAACUGCCGAGCUUGAGUACCGGAGAGGGUGGCGGAAUUCCCCAAGUAGAGGUGAAAUGCGUAGAUAUCUGGAGGAAUACCGGUGGCGAAGGCGGCAUCCUGGACCAUUACUGACGCUGAGGCGCGAAAGCGUGGGGAGCGAACAGG